CAUUUUCAGUUUUUAGCUAUAUAAAGAAUCAAAGUACUAAUUAUAUUCUGAAAAAUCAAAAUUAUGCCCUAAAUGAUACAAAUUAUAAUUCAUAAACUUAAUAUAAUUUAUUAUUUUUAUUCUCAAUUCACUCAGAUAAUGCACAUAUAAUUAUAGGGCUACUAUGCAAGGUUCUUUUCAGAACAGCAAGGACUAGAUGAUUUCAUAGCAACUAAUUGUAAUGCAAUAAUUCGGGAAGUUUUCUGAAAGCACAAAUUUGAGUAUGUUAAAAUAGUUUCAAAUUUUAUUUUCCUUGGACAAAAGCUUCUUUUACAGUGCAAAUGUAUUUUAAUUAUAAAUCUACACUUAAAAAUCAUAUUAAAGGGAAACUAUUUUUACUGAUACAUGCCAGGGGGCAAAUAAUAUUAAUGCUAAAUGCAUACCUUUUAAGAAAAGAAUAAAAUGGACUAUGAUAUGUCUUUGUUUAAGCACAAAGUUCCAAAGCUCUCCAAUUGUCCUUUGGAUGAAAGUUGAAUCACAGUUUCUUUACUAUAGAAUCAAAUCUGAGCAUUUCAAGAGGUAAACAGUGAUUCUUUGAUGCCUUACUUCAAAGCAUUCAGAGGAAAUUAAUCAAAUUAAUCCAUCCUUCUUUCCACUGGUAACAAAAAUUAUUCACUGCUUUGGACUCAGGGCAUUUCACAAGACCCUAAUGAGUAUUGGGAAGGAAAAAAAAAGUAUUAAAUGGUGGCAUUAAGAAGGAGACUGUAAAGCACUGAAUAUUCUUUUUUUUAAUGCCAGAUUGGAAAUGUAAUUGAGUGAAGCAGGCCCCGGGUGGUUGGAAGCAUUGCAAAGUGCAUGGCCCGCCUAAAGGUGGCAGCUGCUACCCAGCAACCAUGGAUCAUUGCCACAUUGGAAUUCAGAACCAGGUUUGGCAGAUAUUCCAGUGUUUGUGGAAAAGAAAGAAAUUCAUAUUUUAAUGUGAGCUCUCUAAAUUUUUGAGUGUUGAUGUUAACCAAAAAAAGUCCUUGUGAGCUGAAUCAAAUAAGUCAGGAAGUUCCUCCUUGUUAAAUGAAAAAGCAUUAUGUACUUGACCUUGGUCUUGCCCCUCCCCAAUUUUAAUCAAAGUCCUUAAAAGCAUUUAGAAAAUAUUUAAGUGACAAUUAUUUCUUAUGUCAAUUUUUCCUUGAGGAGCAUCAAGAGAAAAAUGUAUUUCCUUCCAAAAGCCAUUGGUUGAAGACCAAGCAACUCUAAUCAUUUGGCUAAUAUGAUUGUUUAUAUAUUUCCCAAUAAUCAAAUAAUUGUUCUCAGUUGAUAAAGGGGAAGAGUAUUUAAAAGGUUAUUUUUAAAUUACAGCAAUACAGGUAUUUUUUGAAACAAAGGGAUAUUGCUUUCAAUACAUUUUUUGCCUAAAAUAGAUGGUCUCUUUCCAUAUCUCUUCCAAAUCUCUGAACGAAUUCUCACGUUUUUUCAAAAUUGUUGCUGUAAGCAUGGUUAAAUUAUAUCACGUCUAUAGCCAGACUCUCAUAUUCUGAAUCCAGUUCUGAUGUUGCUAGCUACUUCACCUUGUGUGUCUUACCCAAAUUUCUUGAGUCCCAGGUUCCUCAUCUAGAAAAUAAUGGUCAUUUUGGGAUCAACUUCAGAGGCUUACUAUGAGGAUUUUGUAAGGAAAUCUUUAAAGCUAUCAGUGAUAGAAAGUGUUCCAUACAUCUUAGUUAUCAUUAUGUCCUUUGAAGUCAUUCUUUUUUCCUGGUUUACAUGGAAAUACUGCUGCAGAUGUCAGAAGACACAUUUUUCUCCCACCUGAAACAUUGCACAUUUGUAGCAACCAUCUUCAUAGAGGAAAACAGAAUUCUUAUUCACUGCUGCACAUAUUUAAUGUAUUUGUGAGAUCACUCUACCCCGUUUCUGGUCUUUAUAAAGUUAUCAUAAAAUUAUAAGUGUCUUUGACAAUUAUCUAGUUACUAGACACAAAAGUAUGAAUACAUGGGAACUCAGAGAGACUGAGUGAUUUGCCUGGGAUAAAUAAAUAAGAAGGUGGCAGAACCGGGACUAAAAUUGUGUUUCUUUGUUUUGCUUUCAUUAUAUAUUUCUAUCUAAAUAUAUUUAAGUUGAAAUUAUAAAUAUUAAAAAAAUUUGAAUGCCUUAAUUCAUAGACUUUCUCCAUUAAAUUGGAAAGAAAAGGCUACAUUAACAAGAGAAAACCAUUAUUUUUAUAGGGAAAUUUUGUCAAUUAAGCUGCAGUAUGCCAAACAUCUGUGUACCUGUCAACCAAUUCUACAUGAUUGACAUAGUUUGCAUUCAUAUACAGAUAUUCCUGCAUUUUGAGAUCUAGUUUUACACAUUGACAUUUUAAUAUAAAUGAUCAAUAGAAAAUCAUAUUCCAUGGGCAUCAUGAAUGAGUCAACAAAUUUAUUUGGCUUACUCUAAAUAAAUAUUUCUUAAAUGUCACAUUUGCACAGCAUUAAAAGUUUUAAGCAAAUACUCGUGAAGCAUGCCCCGUGACACUGAUGAUUGAAUAUAUUAUCUUGUCUCUUUCUAAUGAAGAAAACAGUGUAGUUGCCAACUUUAUAUGAACUAAGGGAAGUUCUCUGACCACAUGAGAUGUCAUUUCAAAAUAGAUUUCCUUUGGAAGGAUGAUAUUAUGCUAAAAUAAUAUGAGAUUUAUUUUUAUUGCCCACUAAAGAACUAAGGAAAAUACAAUGCCAUGGAAAUUGUUAUUUUAAUGCUGUAUUCAAAAGAAUAAAAGUUAAAUAUAGAACUUUGAAUUGCUUUUCUUCUCUCCUCACUGGUAGUAUAUGUUCGUAUUCUGGAGAUUGGGAAAUUCAACUUCACACAACACAUCCAGCUAAUGAGAUUGCAGAAACAUUGUGCUCUCCAUCAUUUCCUUAUCAGUGACAGUCCAUUAAAAGCUCUAACCCCAUGAAGUGAAUUUCAGUUUUAAACUUUUGCAUUCUGAAAACGGUCUUCCCAAGACCAUUAAUAGAUAAGAUGGAUGCCACAUUUGUUGACAGUUCAAGAUACUUUUACCCUACUAGAACUGUUUUGAAACCAACAACAGACCUAUUAUCUUCUUUUACACAGAAAUUUUAUAGUGCUAUUUUAGUGAAUUGCAAAACUCUGAAGGAAAUUUUACUUUUAUUUACCUGUGUUUUUGUUUCCUUACACAAUGCAGUAAAAUAUGUACAAUGUGUGUUUGUAGUCUACAUGUGAAUUGCAUCCUUUCAGAAAAAUUGAAUAGGUCUACUAAAAACAAUUUUCCUUUCAAGUGUGGCAUGCUUUGUCCUUCUGAGAACAGAAAGAUGAUGAUUUAUUCCUGGAUUCUUAAUAGUUUUUGUUGCAAUAAGUUAGUCAUGAUCACAAUUGAAUGUCAGGAUUGUAAAAUAAUCAAAACAGCCUUUCCAAACUUAGUGUGGAGAAACUGAACAAAUGCAAGCACAAAGAUAUGACUUCACCUCCUGACAAAGAAGGAGGAGGAGAUUCCUGCCCAGACUGAUGUCCCAAAGAAACAACCAUGAUUGUGAGGCAUGGCAUCCAGGGGGAGUUAAAGUCUUACUAUUUUAGUUGAAUUCAAGACUACAUGAAAGAACUUGGUGCUGACAGUAUUCAGUUUUCACAUGGAUAUGGUUUUCCAAGACACCAUAGUUUUCUGCUCCUUGUCCUUACUCAUCUGUCUACUUGCCUCUUAGAUUAAAUAUUUUCAACAAAUAUGCCUAUUUGAAAGGGUCUUGUUUGAAUUUUAAUGUUAUUAUUUUGCUGCCCCAUUUAUACCUUAUACUUAAAUAAAUUGCUUCUCCCCACUGCUGUA